GUAACAGUACAAAACUCAUGGCGGAUUCAUGGCUGAAAAGCUUAAAUAGCAAUUAUUUAUUUCCAUUCAGCCUGGUAGUUCCAUUAAGCCGAGUUCCCAAACAAAGUCAAGAUUGCAGUUUCGAAGAAAUUGAAAUAGAAAUAUUUCCACCUCUCUAAACCAAAGCCAAGCGUCCAGGAAAACCUUAGUUCAAUGCAAUGACAUCAUUGAUGUAAAAGUCAUAAUUUGUCAUCUUAACAUGUCUUCAAUGAAAUUACUAUGGAGAAAAUCAUGUGAGUUUAACUUUAAUAAAAACCAAAGUAAUACGCCAUAGAACCAAAAACAGGGAAAGGAGGUUUGAAGUCAAGGAAAAGACUCGACUGCUCUUCUAUGGGGAAAAAAUCACAUUGCACUUAUUCCCCUUGUAGAUUUCAAGUAAUCUCAUAGAA
rnacentral:misc_RNA from 1 species